rnacentral:rRNA from 16 species
UUUUGACCUCGGAUCAGGUAGGGAUACCCGCUGAACUUAA